rnacentral:rRNA from 1 species
AACAGGGAUUGCUUGCAAUCCGCUGACGACCGGCGCACGGGUGCGUAACGCGUAUGCAACCUACCUUCUACAGGGGAAUAGUCAAUAGAAAUGUUGAAUAAUACCCCAUACGAUCUUUGAAUAGCAUUAUUUAGAGAAGAAAGUUCCGGCGGUAGAAGAUGGGCAUGCGUCCUAUUAGUUAGUUGGAGAGGUAACGGCUCCCCAAGACAUCGAUAGGUAGGGGUCCUGAGAGGGAGACCCCCCACACUGGUACUGAGACACGGACCAGACUCCUACGGGAGGCAGCAGUGAGGAAUAUUGGACAAUGGAGGCAACUCUGAUCCAGCCAUGCCGCGUGCAGGAAGACUGCCCUAUGGGUUGUAAACUGCUUUUAUACAGGAAGAAAUGUACCUACGUGUAGGUAUUUGACGGUACUGUACGAAUAAGGAUCGGCUAACUCCGUGCCAGCAGCCGCGGUAAUACGGAGGAUCCAAGCGUUAUCCGGAAUCAUUGGGUUUAAAGGGUCCGUAGGCGGUCUUUUAAGUCAGAGGUGAAAUCCUGCAGCUCAACUGUAGAAUUGCCUUUGAUACUGAAAGACUUGAGUUAUUGUGAAGUAGUUAGAAUGUGUGGUGUAGCGGUGAAAUGCAUAGAGAUCACACAGAAUACCGAUUGCGAAGGCAGAUUACUAACAAUAUACUGACGCUGAGGGACGAAAGCGUGGGUAGCGAACAGGAUUAGAUACCCUGGUAGUCCACGCCGUAAACGAUGGAUACUAGCUGUUCGACCAACAUUGGUUGGUUGGGUGGCUAAGCGAAAGUGAUAAGUAUCCCACCUGGGGAGUACGCUCGCAAGAGUGAAACUCA